UACGUAGGGGGCAAGCGUUGUCCGGAAUUAUUGGGCGUAAAGAGCGUGUAGGCGGCCAGGUAGGUCUGCUGUGAAAACUCGAGGCUUAACCUCGAGCUGUCGGCGGAAACCAUCUGGCUAGAGUCCGGAAGAGGAGAAUGGAAUUCCCGGUGUAGCGGUGAAAUGCGCAGAUAUCAGGAGGAACACCAGUGGCGAAAGGCGGCUCACUGGCCCGAUACUACGCUGAGGCACGAAAGCGUGGGGAGCAAACAGGAUU
rnacentral:rRNA from 1 species